rnacentral:rRNA from 1 species
UACAGAGGUCCCAAGCGUUGUUCGGAUUCAUUGGGCGUAAAGGGUGCGUAGGUGGCCUGGUAAGUCGGGUGUGAGAUCCCGGGGCUCAACCCCGGAACUGCACUCGAUACUGUCGUGCUCGAGUACUGGAGAGGAGACUGGAAUUUACGGUGUAGCAGUGAAAUGCGUAGAUAUCGUAAGGAAGACCGGUGGCGAAGGCUAGUCUCUGGACAGUUACUGACACUGAGGCACGAAGGCCAGGGGAGCAAACGGG